rnacentral:rRNA from 1 species
UACGUAGGGGGCAAGCGUUGUCCGGAUUUAUUGGGCGUAAAGAGCGUGUAGGCGGCCAGACAGGUCUGCUGUGAAAACUCGAGGCUCAACCUCGAGACGCCGGUGGAAACCGUCUGGCUAGAGUCCGGAAGAGGAGAGUGGAAUUCCUGGUGUAGCGGUGAAAUGCGCAGAUAUCAGGAAGAACACCCGUGGCUAAGGCGGCUCUCUAGUACGGUACUGACGCUGAGGCGCGAAAGCGUGGGGAGCGAACAGG